ensembl:lncRNA
GUCCAGCUCAUUCAUUGUUUGAAGGAGGGAAGUUUAAGUCUGAAGGCAAGAAAGGAAGACUACAUGUUACAAAGGAGUGUUCUCUGGAGGUGAAGACUCUGGGAGAGGAAGAUGAAGGUCGUUACACCUGCAGAUCCUUUCCAUCAUCAGGAGAAGAGUUUGAUCAUGCAGCGCAUCAACUAGAGCUAAUGACAAGCACAAACAGACCAACCACAACCACAGUGAAAGCAAACACAACUUGCACAAGCACAUCCAAACCAACAACUCCAGCAGUGAAAGCACACAAAAUACUUCCCCGUACGCUGUGACAGAGAUGAAUGUCUUGCCGCAUGUGAACCGAUGGCCACAGCAACACGUCUGCAAAUGAAAUGGCUGUGAGAUAUCGAAUCUGCAUUUCUUCUAAAGGACAUGAACAAACACAUUUAGACAAAAGUGAAAAUGCGUUCAGAACUGAAAAUGUGGGGUCAAAUUGGGGUUCAAACCCAGAACCUUUUGGCUGGGAGUCAACCUCUAAAACUAGGAUAAUAUUCUGUAUUCUAUCAUCAAAUCUUUUCUAUAGUGUGUCAGUUUUAACCUUUAGUCAUUUUCUAUGGUUUCCAGCAUAGGUCUACCCAUGUAGGUUCUUAAUUCAUAUGAGAUCCUGCCGACUGAACGAGAGGAAGGUAACCUCUUCCUGUGUUCAGGUGGACCUAUAGACCCAGGGUUCGCAGCAGGGGUAGCGCUGGGUACAGCGGUCCUGUUGAUCGUGGGCCUGGUUCUCCUCAUUCGCUGGCUCAGAAGGAGAGGAAACAAGAGGCCAAAGGACCCCACAACCACUCAUCUCAGUGUGGACGGAGAUCAGGGCGGAGGUCCAACAUACGCCUCUAUUGUCCUGUAUGAGGGAC